rnacentral:lncRNA from 1 species
AAUUCUCUAAAGAUAGCAAUUGUAUGUUAUAUUCUUUAACUGACUAAACAGUGAAAUGCCAACAAAUUAAUAAGAAAAGGUGUACCUUCCCGAGAGAUUAUAUGUAUUAUGCAAUUAGUAUAGUUUAGCAAAUAAAAACAAUAACUACCCAGUAUAAUCUCACCAAAUGAGGUAUGGGAAAGGUAGAGUGUACGCAAUCUUAG